rnacentral:rRNA from 1 species
CACGUAGUUAGCCGGAGCUUCCUCCUAAGGUACCGUCAUUAUCGUCCCUUAAGACAGAGGUUUACAAUCCGAAAACCUUCUUCCCUCACGCGGCAUCGCUGCAUCAGAGUUUCCUCCAUUGUGCAAUAUUCCCCACUGCUGCCUCCCGUAGGAGUCUGGGCCGUGUCUCAGUCCCAAUGUGGCCGUUCUACCUCUCAGUACGGCUACUGAUCGUCGCCUUGGUGAGCCGUUACCUCACCAACAAGCUAAUCAGACGCGAGCCCAUCUUUAAGCGAUAAAUCUUUGAUACACAAACCAUGCGGUUCGUGUAUGUUAUGCGGUAUUAGCGGUCGUUUCCGACCGUUAUCCCACUCUUAAAGGCAGGUUGCUCACGUGUUACUCACCCGUCCGCCACUAACUUAAGAGAGCAAGCCCUCUCAAGUCCGUUCGACUUGCAUGUGUUAAGCGUGCCGCCAGCGUUCGUCCUGAGCCAGGAUCAAACUCU